rnacentral:rRNA from 1 species
GAUGAACGCUGGCGGCGGGCUUAACACAUGCAAGUCGAACGGAAAGGCCCUGCUUGUGUGGGGUGCUGGAGGGGCGAACGGGUGAGUAACACGUGAGUAUCGGGCUCUUGACUUUGGGAGAACUUCAGGAAACUGGGGCUAAUACCGGAUAGGAUCCCCUGCUGCAUGGUGGGGAGUGGAAAGUUUAGGCGGGUGGGGAUGGACUAGCGGCUGAUCAGCUUGCUGGUGGGGUAGGUGAUUACCAAGGCAUUGACGGGUCGCCGGCCUGAGAGGGUGGCCGGCCACAAGAGGACUGCGAUACGGACCAGACGCCUACGGGAGGCAGCAGUGGGAAAUAUUGCACAAUGGGCGGAAGCCUGAUGCGGCGGCGCCGCGUGCGGGAUGACGGCCUUCGGGUUGUGAACCGCUUUCGCCUGUGACGAAGCGUGAGUGACGGUAAUGGGUAAAGAAGCACCGGCUAACUACGUG